AAGGGCACCACAAGAACGCGUGGAGCAUGUGGCUUAAUUUGACUCAACGCGGGAAAUCUUACCGGGUCCGGACACACUGAGGAUUGACAGGCAAUAUUAAUUAAAUUUUAUUGUUCAUUCAAUUAAUUUUUAUUUAUGAUAAAUAUGCUAGUCCUUUCAUGAUUAUGUGAUAGGUGGUGCAUGGCCGUUCUUAGUUCGUGGAGUGAUCUGUCUGCUUAAUUGCGUUUCACUAAGAGUUCAUAAUAAUAAUGUGUAUUGUAACUUUUUCAUUGACCCCCAUCUUCUGAUGGAGCUGUGUCUCUGUUAUUAUGUUUACUUGCACAACUGAGCUCUGAAAGCAACGAACGUGACCGCAGCCUCUUGUUGCCUUUCAAAACAUGCGAACUUAAAGUUUGUAUAAUAAAAAAGGCUUUUUUAUAAACUAGAGGGACCGCUGUAACUUUUUUAAACCAGAGGAAGGUUGCGGCAAUAACAGGUCUGUGAUGCCCUUAGAUGUUCCGGGCUGCACACGUGCUACAAUGAUUAUUGCAGUGAGCAUCUCAUUCUAAUACAUCGCCUGCGCGAGUCCAUUAUUCACUCUUUUGUGUUUAGUGUCAUCUUUGCGCGCGAUAAAGCCUGCUUCGAAAGUAAGUGGGUAAUCAAUUAGAAGUAAUGAUUUCCUAGUUUUUCGCACAAAUAUAUACUGCAUUCAUUUCCGGUUGUACUUUAUGUAUGAUUCUGUGUCAUAUGAUUGUUGGAUUACUUCUGUAAUUCCUUUCAGUAUGUGCAAAUGUCAAUUCAUGGUGGGGACAGACCAUUGUUAAUUGUUGGUCUCGGUCUCAACUAGGAAUGCCUUGUACGGGUCUUUGGUUCAACAAACCACCCGGAAUACGUCCCUGCCCUUUGUACACACCGCCCGUCGCUCUUACCGAUGGACUUCUCUGUGAGUUUGAGGGACUGGAAUCUUUUUAUUCAUUUAUUUGAAUAAAUACCUCUAUGGAAACUUAAACGAACAGUGUGGUCUAAAGGAAAGAGAAGUCGAACAAGGCA
rnacentral:rRNA from 1 species